rnacentral:rRNA from 1 species
AAGUCGUAACAAGGUU